UACGUAGGGUCCGAGCGUUGUCCGGAAUUACUGGGCGUAAAGAGCUCGUAGGUGGUUUGUCGCGUUGUUCGUGAAAACUCACAGCUCAACUGUGGGCGUGCGGGCGAUACGGGCAGACUGGAGUACUGCAGGGGAGACUGGAAUUCCUGGUGUAGCGGUGGAAUGCGCAGAUAUCAGGAGGAACACCGGUGGCGAAGGCGGGUCUCUGGGCAGUAACUGACGCUGAGGAGCGAAAAGCGUGGGGGAGCGAACAGG
rnacentral:rRNA from 1 species